rnacentral:tRNA from 1 species
UCCCUGGUGGCUCAGAUGGUAAAGCGUCUGUCUACAAUGCAGGAGACCCGGGUUCGAUCCCUGAGUUGGGAA